AUCUAUGGCCAUUCCACCCUGAACAAGCCCGAUCCCGUCUGAUCUCGGAAGCUAAGCAGGGUCGGGUACUUGGAUGGGAGACCGCCUAGGAAAACUAGGUGCUGUAGGCA
rnacentral:rRNA from 1 species